rnacentral:rRNA from 1 species
UACGUAGGGGGCAAGCGUUGUCCGGAAUUAUUGGGCGUAAAGAGCGUGUAGGCGGCCCGGUAAGUCCGCUGUGAAAGUCGGGGGCUCAACCCUCGAAUGCCGGUGGAUACUGUCGGGCUAGAGUGCGGAAGAGGCGAGUGGAAUUCCUGGUGUAGCGGUGAAAUGCGCAGAUAUCAGGAGGAACACCGAUUGCGAAGGCAGCUCGCUGGGACGUAACUGACGCUGAGACGCGAAAGCGUGGGGAGCAAACAGG